rnacentral:rRNA from 1 species
UUGGAGGGCAAGUCUGGUGCCAGCAGCCGCGGUAAUUCCAGCUCCAAUAGCGUAUAUUAAAGUUGUUGCAGUUAAAAAGCUCGUAGUUGAAUUUCGGGAUCAAUUUGCCGGUCGAGACCUCUGGUACGUACUUGUAUUAUUGAUUUCUUUCAUUCUGAUAAAUCAUUGACGUCAUUAAUUUGAUGACUUUGAGGAAUCGGAACUUUUACUUUGAAAAAAUUAGAGUGUUUAAAGCAGGCUUAUUAGGCUUGAAUACAUUAGCAUGGAAUAAUGAAAUAGGACGAUUGAUCCUAUUUUUGUUGGUUUCUAGGAUUGACGUAAUGAUUAAUAGGGAUAGUUGGGGGCAUUAGUAUUCAAUUGUCAGAGGUGAAAUUCUUGGAUUUAUUGAAGACUAACUACUGCGAAAGCAUUUGCCAAGGAUGUUUUCAUUAAUCAAGAACGAAAGUUAGGGGAUCGAAGACGAUCAGAUACCGUCGUAGUCUUAACCAUAAACUAUGCCGACUAGGGAUCGGAUGAUGUUAAUUUUUUUUAAUGACUCAUUCGGCGCCUUACGGGAAAC